CAGUGUCCCCAUUUCUCCCAGUGUCCCCAUGUAUCAGUGUUCCCGGGGACACUGAGCCACUUGGGGACACUGGAAGACAUGGGGACACUGGGAGACAUGGGGGCACU